rnacentral:rRNA from 1 species
GACCUCAAAUCAGGUAGGACUACCCGCUGAACUUAAGCAU